CGGCGGACGGGUGAGUAACACGUGGAUAACCUACCUAUAAGACUGGGAUAACUUCGGGAAACCGGAGCUAAUACCGGAUAAUAUAUUGAACCGCAUGGUUCAAUAGUGAAAGACGGUUUUGCUGUCACUUAUAGAUGGAUCCGCGCCGCAUUAGCUAGUUGGUAAGGUAACGGCUUACCAAGGCAACGAUGCGUAGCCGACCUGAGAGGGUGAUCGGCCACAUUGGGACUGAGACACGGCCCAAACUCCUACGGGAGGCAGCAGCC
rnacentral:rRNA from 1 species